rnacentral:rRNA from 1 species
GAUGAACGCUGGCGGCGUGCCUAAUACAUGCAAGUCGAGCGAAUGGAUUAAGAGCUUGCUCUUAUGAAGUUAGCGGCGGACGGGUGAGUAACACGUGGGUAACCUGCCCAUAAGACUGGGAUAACUCCGGGAAACCGGGGCUAAUACCGGAUAACAUUUUGAACCGCAUGGUUCGACAUUGAAAGGCGGCUUCGGCUGUCACUUAUGGAUGGACCCGCGUCGCAUUAGCUAGUUGGUGAGGUAACGGCUAACCAAGGCAACGAUGCGUAGCCGACCUGAGAGGGUGAUCGGCCACACUGGGACUGAGACACGGCCCAGACUCCUACGGGAGGCAGCAGUAGGGAAUCUUCCGCAAUGGACGAAAGUCUGACGGAGCAACGCCGCGUGAGUGAUGAAGGCUUUCGGGUCGUAAAACUCUGUUGUUAGGGAAGAACAAGUGCUAGUUGAAUAAGCUGGCACCUUGACGGUACCUAACCAGAAAGCCACGGCUAACUGCGUGCCAGCCGCCGCCGUAA